GUCUGUCAGUAGGUCCAUGUGUAUCAGUAUGUCUGUGUGUCAGUGUGUUUGGGUGUCAGUAUGCCUGUGUGUGUCAGUAUGUCUGUGUGUGUGUGCCUGUCAGUAGGUGUGUGUGUGUGUGUGUGUGUGUGUGUGUGUCUGUCAGUAGGUCCAUGUGUGUCAGUAUGUCUGUGUCAGUGUGUUUGGGUGUCAGUAUGCCUGUGUGUGUCAGUAUGUCUGUGUGUGUGUGUGCCACUAUGUCUGUCUGGGUGUGUGGUAGUAUGUGUCUGUGUGUGCCAGUAUGUCUGUCAGUGUAUGUGUCAGUGUCCAUAUGUCAGUAUGUAUGUGUCAGUAUGUCUGUCAGUUUAUGUGUCUGUGUAAGUAUGUCUGUCAGUUUGUAUACAUAUAAUCUGUGUGUGUAUAUGUGCAUACAUCUCAGCAU